AGAAUCAACGCUGGCGGCGUGCCUAACACAUGCAAGUCGAACGAGAAAGUGGAGCAAUCCACGAGUAAAGUGGCGCACGGGUGAGUAACACGUGACUAACCUACCCUUGAGUGGGGGAUAACCUAGGGAAACCUGGGCUAAUACCGCAUAAUACCUUCGGGUCAAAGGAGCAAUUCGCUUAAGGAGGGGGUCGCGGCCGAUUAGUUAGUUGGCGGGGUAAUGGCCCACCAAGACUGUGAUCGGUAUCCGGCCUGAGAGGGCGCACGGACACACUGGAACUGAAACACGGUCCAGACUCCUACGGGAGGCAGCAGUGGGGAAUUUUGGACAAUGGGCGCAAGCCUGAUCCAGCCAUGCCGCGUGAGUGAUGAAGGCCCUAGGGUUGUAAAGCUCUUUCAACGGUGAAGAUAAUGACGGUAACCGUAGAAGAAGCCCCGGCUAACUUCGUGCCAGCAGCCGC
rnacentral:rRNA from 1 species